GUACACGCUGUGACUAGCAUAUCAAUAAGGGAGGAAAAGAAACUAACAAGGAUUCCCUCAGUAACGGCGAGUGAAGCGGGAAGAGCUCAAAUUUGAAAUCUUGAAAGGUCACCUUUCACGAAUUGUAGUUUAAAGAAGUGUUUUCUGUUACGAUCGUAAUAUAAGUUCUUUGGAAUAGGACAUCACAGAGGGUGAGAAUCCCGUCUAUGAUUGCGAUUUGUAGCUUUGUGAUACACUUUCAAAGAGUCGGGUUGUUUGGGAAUGCAGCCCAAAACGGGAGGUAAAUUUCUUCUAAGGCUAAAUAUUGGCGAGAGACCGAUAGCGAACAAGUACCGUGAGGGAAAGAUGAAAAGAACUUUGAAAGGAGAGUUAAAUAGUACGUGAAAUUGUCAAAAGGGAAGCGUUUAACACCAGUGUUGUUUUCUGAAAAUCAACCUCUGUUAGCUUUAUGCAUGUUUGUUUAGACCUAAUCAGCUAUCUUUCAUGUUCUAUUGUUUGCAGUGGUGCACUUUUCAGUUUACAGGUCAACAUCAGUUUUUUUUACCGUAAAAAAGUUAAAGAAAGGUAGCUCAUGGCUCCGGUCGUGAGUGUUAUAGUCUUUUUCCUAUGCGGUAGGAGAGACUGAGGUCUGCAGUGUAGGCUAUUUGGCUAGAUACUCAGGUGCUAUGUGAUACCAUUUCAUAAACAACUUGUUGAUUAUGUUUUGUCUAUUGCAUACUCGCUUGUACUAUCAUACCUACGCUUAGGAUGUUGAGUAGCGACAUACGCAC
rnacentral:rRNA from 1 species